rnacentral:rRNA from 1 species
AUUGAACGCUGGCGGCAGGCCUAACACAUGCAAGUCGAGCGGAGCGGGGGACGGGCGAGCGAUGGCUAGGAAUCUGCGUGGUAGCGGGGGAGAAGGUGCGGAAAGGUGCGCAAAUACGGCAAACUAUCACACGAGCGUAGGUGGGAUUAGCUGGUUGGUGGGGUAAAGGCCUACCAAGGCGACGAUCCGUAACUGGUCUGAGAGGAUGAUCAGUCACACGGGAACUGAGACACGGUCCAGACUCCUACGGGAGGCAGCAGUGGGGAAUAUUGGACAAUGGGCGAAAGCCGGAUCCAGCCAUGCCGCGUGUGUGAAGAAGGUCUUCGGGUUGUAAAGCACUUUAAGUGGGGAGGCGUUACCCGCAGAAUAAGCACCGGCUAACUCCGUGCCAGCAGCCGCGGUAAUAC